UAGCUUGUAGCUAGUUGUUAUUUUUCCUGGUAAUUAACAGUUUAGCAUUGAGCAUUGCUUUAAUGAUCCUUUGAAAGCUUCAAUUGCUAUGUUAGGGAUCUUUCUAAGGCUGAUCCAUUUGUGGUUGAGGUUUAUAAGAGGUUCACACAUGGUCCUAAGGAGAAGGAUGUCUAGUUAUUGUUAAAAUUAUUGCUAGCAUUUAAUUUCAGUAUUGAAGUAGUUGUUUGCGCUUAGCCGGUCCCAAUCCUGGAUAA
rnacentral:misc_RNA from 1 species